CCUACGGGAGGCAGCAGUGGGGAAUAUUGCACAAUGGGGGAAACCCUGAUGCAGCGACGCCGCGUGAGUGAAGAAGGAUUUCGGUACGUAAAGCUCUAUCAGCAGGGAAGAAAAUGACGGUACCUGACUAAGAAGCCCCGGCUAACUACGUGCCAGCAGCCGCGGUAAGACGGAGGGGGCAAGCGUUAUCCGGAUUUACGGGGUGUAAAGGGAGCGUAGACGGCAGCGCAAGUCUGGAGUGAAAUCCCAGGGCUUAACCAUGGAACUGCGUUGGAAACUGUGCAGCUGGAGUGCAGGAGCGGUAAGCGGACUUCCUAUUGUAGCGGUGAACUGCUUAGAUAUUAGGCGGCACCCCAGUGGCG
rnacentral:rRNA from 1 species